rnacentral:rRNA from 1 species
CUGAGGCGUGAUGACGAGGCACUACGGUGCUGAAGCAACAAAUGCCCUGCUUCCAGGAAAAGCCUCUAAGCAUCAGGUAACAUCAAAUCGUACCCCAAACCGACACAGGUGGUCAGGUAGAGAAUACCAAGGCGCUUGAGAGAACUCGGGUGAAGGAACUAGGCAAAAUGGUGCCGUAACUUCGGGAGAAGGCACGCUGACACGUAGGUGAAGUGAUUUACUCAUGGAGCUGAAGUCAGUCGAAGAUACCAGCUGGCUGCAACUGUUUAUUAAAAACACAGCACUGUGCAAACACGAAAGUGGACGUAUACGGUGUGACGCCUGCCCGGUGCCGGAAGGUUAAUUGAUGGGGUCAGCGCAAGCGAAGCUCCUGAUCGAAGCCCCGGUAAACGGCGGCCGUAACUAUAACGGUCCUAAGGUAGCGAAAUUCCUUGUCGGGUAAGUUCCGACCUGCACGAAUGGCGUAAUGAUGGCCAGGCUGUCUCCACCCGAGACUCAGUGAAAUUGAACUCGCUGUGAAGAUGCAGUGUACCCGCGGCAAGACGGAAAGACCCCGUGAACCUUUACUAUAGCUUGACACUGAACAUUGAGCCUUGAUGUGUAGGAUAGGUGGGAGGCUUUGAAGCGUGGACGCCAGUCUGCGUGGAGCCGACCUUGAAAUACCACCCUUUAAUGUUUGAUGUUCUAACGUGGACCCGUAAUCCCGGGUUGCGGACAGUGUCUGGUGGGUAGUUUGACUGGGGCGGUCUCCUCCUAAAGAGUAACGGAGGAGCACGAAGGUUGGCUAAUCCUGGUCGGACAUCAGGAGGUUAGUGCAAUGGCAUAAGCCAGCUUGACUGCGAGCGUGACGGCGCGAGCAGGUGCGAAAGCAGGUCAUAGUGAUCCGGUGGUUCUGAAUGGAAGGGCCAUCGCUCAACGGAUAAAAGGUACUCCGGGGAUAACAGGCUGAUACCGCCCAAGAGUUCAUAUCGACGGCGGUGUUUGGCACCUCGAUGUCGGCUCAUCACAUCCUGGGGCUGAAGUAGGUCCCAAGGGUAUGGCUGUUCGCCAUUUAAAGUGGUACGCGAGCUGGGUUUAGAACGUCGUGAGACAGUUCGGUCCCUAUCUGCCGUGGGCGCUGGAGAACUGAGGGGGGCUGCUCCUAGUACGAGAGGACCGGAGUGGACGCAUCACUGGUGUUCGGGUUGUCAUGCCAAUGGCACUGCCCGGUAGCUAAAUGCGGAAGAGAUAAGUGCUGAAAGCAUCUAAGCACGAAACUUGCCCCGAGAUGAGUUCUCCCUGAGACUUUAAGUCUCCUGAAGGAACGUUGAAGACGACGACGUUGAUAGGCCGGGUGUGUAAGCGCAGCGAUGCGUUGAGCUAACCGGUACUAAUGAACCGUGAGGCUUAACCUUAC